UUAACGAAACCUCAAAAUCUUCACAAUUUAACAUCGCAAACGCCUUUAGAUUACACUGACCAAGAUUUGUGUUGAUCUGAAUAAAUCUCUAGGAGUAGUUUGUUAAAGUACAACCCCUGAAAAUGGCAAAAACAACGCCAAUUUUGCAGAGAAAAUUCUAAAUAACCGACUUCCUGAUGGGAUUCGGAUUUCGUAACAUUGGACUUUUUUGUAGGUAUUGGUGUGUUACAUGUGUGUACCGAUUUUUGUACAUGUAUGUGAAAAAUAGCUCGAGGCGCACUCCAUUGAAUGUGCAUAUGCACUCCGUUGAAAGUUUAUAGGUGGCGCUAUCGAGCCAUUUUGCCACACCCGAUGGAAUAUUGGCCUUCAGAUCUGUUCAGGCCAGGACCCUUAUCACACAUGUGAAGUUUGGGCAAGAUCGGACACUUUAUGCCUGAGUUAUAACAUCUUUUAUUCCCAUGACGAGACAUCGAACUUCGUCACGGCGCCAUGGACACGCCUUUUAACAAAAACUCAAGAUCUUCACAACUAAACAUCACACAGGUCUUUAGAUUAGACUGACCACAAAAAAGACAUUGAUGUCAUAAAAUUUCUAGAAAUAGUCUGUCACAGUGUAAAAAUAUGUCACUUCCUGUUGCCAAUAGGUGGCGCUAUGACUAUAACUGAAUAUGCGCAUGUCAAUAUGUUCAGGUUCAGAGUCUCAUCAAACAUGUGAAGUUUGGGGCAGAUUGGACAUUGUAUGUCUGAGUAAUAGCAACUUCAUUUUUCAUGGCGAAUCAUCGAAAUUCGCCAGGCCGCCACGGACACGCCCUUCGACGAAAACUCAAGAUCUUCGCAAUUUAACAUCGCAAAGGCCUUUAGAUUAGGCAUAACAAAUUUGGUGUUGAUUUGAAGAAAUCUCUAGGAGGAGUUCGUUAAAAUACAACACAUGGAAAUGACCAAAAUUACACAAAAUUUGCUCAUAAUAUUAAAAAUAACCGACUUCCUGUUGGGUUUAGAAUUUUGCUCCAAGAGUCUUUUUUGUAGGUAUUGGUGUGUUACAUAUGUGUGCCAAUUUUCGUGCAUGUACGUGAAACAUAGCCGGAAGGCUGUUGAUUUUCUUAGUAUAGGUGGCGCUGUCGAGCCAUUUUGCCACACCCUCUUCUGAAUCCUAUAUCAGACGAAAAUUUUCACCAGGUUUGACGCGUGUGCAAAGUUUCAUGACUUUUUGAGCAUGUUAAAGCCCUCAAAAAUGCGAUUCAUUCGGGAGAAGAAGAAGAAGAAUAAUAAUAAUAAUAAUAAUAAUAAUAAUAAUAAUAAUAAUAAUAAUAAUAAUAAUAAUAAUAAACAAAGCAGAUACAAGAGGGUCCUCGCACCUCGGUGCUCGGGCCCUAAUAAAAAACAAAGCAGAUACAAGAGGGUCCUCGCACCUCAGUGCUCGGGCCCUAAUUAAAGCUGCAAGCAGCGAUGAACGGGCCCUCGCACCCGGGCUCACCGCCAUCGUGUUGCUUUAGUAAAAAGGUGAACGUUGAGAAAUAUGCAUUUAAUGUCCUAAAUAUAAGUGGAAUAUAUCAAAGUAUAUCCCAUAUAUGUGCCAAUCUUACUGUUGCCAGCAGGUGGCGCUAUCAUUAUAAUGGAAUAUUGGCCUUCAGAUGUGUUCAGGCCAGGACUCUUAUCGAACAUGUGAAGUUUGGGGAAGAUUGAACAUUUUAUGCUUGAGUUACAACAACUUCUCUUGCUGUGGCAAGACAUCAAAUUUUGUCAUGUCGCCAUGGAAACGCCCUUUAACAAAAACUCAAGAUCUCCAAAAGUUAACAUUGCACAGGCCUUUAGAUUAGACUGACCACAAAAUAUAUGUUAAUCUCAAAAAAAUUAUAGGAGUAGUUUGUCGCAUUGUAAAACAUGUCACUUCCUGUUGCCAAUAGGUGGCGCUAUGACUAUAACUGAAUGUGGGCAUGUAGAUCUGUUAAGGGCAGAAGUUUUAUCUAACAUGUGAAGUUUGGGGCAGAUUGGACAUUGUAUGUCUGAGUUACAACAACUUCCUUUUUCAUGGCGAAACAUCGAAAUUUGUCAGGCCACCAUGGACACGCCCUUUAACGAAAUCUAAAGAUCUUCGCAAUUUAACAUCGCAAAGGGCUUAAGAUUACACUGACCAGGUUUGGUGUUGAUCUGAAUAAAUCUCUAGGAGGAGUUCGUUAAAGUACAACCCCUGAAAAUGGCAAAAACAACGCCAAUAUUGCAGAGAAAAUUCUAAAUAACCGACUUCCUGUUGGGAUUCGGAUUUCGUACCAAGAGACUUUUUUGUAGGUAUUGGUGUGUUACAUGUGUGUACCAAUUUUUGUACAUGUACGUGAAACAUAGCUCGAGGCGCACUCUGUUGAAAGUGUAUAGGUGGCGCUAUCGAGCCAUUUUGCCACACCUGAUGGAAUUUUGGCCUUCAGAUGUGUUCAGGCCAGGACUCUUAUCACACAUGUGAAGUUUGGGGAAGAUCGGACAUUUUAUGCCUGAGUUAUAACAUCUUUUAUUCCCAUGGCGAGACAUCGAACUUCGUGACGGCGCCAUGGACACGCCUUUUAACGAAAACUCAAGAUCUUCACAACUUAACAUCGCACAGGGCUUUAGAUUAGACUGACCACAAAAAAUACAUUGAUGUCAUAAAAUUUCUAGGAGUAGUUCAUCGCAGUGUAAAAUAUGUCACUUCCUGUUGCCAAAAGGUGGCGCUAUGACUAUAACUGAAUAUGGGCAUGUCAAUCUGUUCAGGUCAGGAGUCUCAUCAAACAUGUGAAGUUUGGGGCAGAUUGGUCAUUGUAUGUCUGAGUUAUAGCAACUUCCUGUUUCAUGGCGAAUCAUCGAAAUUCGCCAGGCCGCCACGGACACGCCCAUUAACGAAAACUCAAAAGCUUCGCAAUUUAACAUCGCAAAGGCCUUCAGAUUAGGCAUACCAAAUUUGGUGUUGAUCUGAAUGAAUCUCUAGGAGGAGUUCGUUAAAAUACAACGCAUGGAAAUGACAAAAAUGACACAAAAUUUGCUCAUAAUAUUAGUAAUAACCGACUUCCUGUUGGGUUUCGGAUUUUGCUCCAAGAGACUUUUUUGUAGGUAUUGGAGAGUUACAUGUGUAUACCGAUUUUCAUACAUGUACAUGAAACAUAGCUCGAGGCGCACACCGUUGAACGUGUAUAGGUGGCGCUGUUGAGCCAUUUUGCCACACCCACUUCUGAAACCCAUAUCAGAUGUAAAUUUUCGCCAGUUCUGAGGUGUGUGCAAAGUUUCAUGACUUUUCGAGCAUGUUUAGGCCCUCAAAAAUGCGAUUCAUUUUGGAGAAGAAGAAUAAUAAUAAUAAUAAUAAUAAUAAUAAUAAUAAUAAUAAACGGAGCAAUUCCAAGAGGGUCCUCACACCAUCGGUGCUCGGGCCCUAAUAAUAAUAAUAAUAAUAAUAAACGGAGCAAUUCCAAGAGGGUCCUCACACCAUCGGUGCUCGGGCCCUAAUUAAAGCUGCAAGCAGCGAUGAACGGGCCCUCGCACCCGGGCUCACCGCCAUCGUGUGGCUUUAGUAAAAAGGUGAACGUUGAGAAAUAUGCAUUUAAUGUCCUAAAUAAAAGUUGAAUAUAUCAAAGUAUAUCCCAUAUAUGUGCCAAUCUUCCUGUUGCCAGCAGGUGACGCUAUCAUUAUAAUGGAAUAUUGGCCUUCAGAUGUGUUCAGGCCAGGACUUUUAUCAAACAUGUGAAGUUUGGGGAAGAUUGAACAUUUUAUGCUUGAGUUACAACAACUUCUCUUGCUGUGGCAAGACAUCAAACUUUGUCAUUGCGCCAUGGAAACACCCUUUAACAAAAACUCAAGAUCUCCAAAAGUUAACAUUGCACAGGCGUUUAGAUUAGACUGACCACAAAAUAUAUGUUAAUCUCAAAAAAAUUAUAGGAGUAGUUUGUCGCAGCCUAAAACAUGACACUUCCUGUUGCCAGCAGGUGGCGCUAUUACUAUAACUGAAUAUGGGCAUGUAGAUCUGUUAAGGGCAGAAGUCUUAACUAACAUGUGAAGUUUGGCGCAGAUUGGAAAUUGUAUGUCUGAGUUACAGCAACUUCCUUUUCAUCGCAAUAUAUCAAAAUUUGUCAGGCCGCCAUGGACACGUCCUUUAACGAAACCUCAAGAUCUUCGCAAUUUAACAAUGCAAAGGCCUUUAGAUUACACUGACCAAGUUUGGUGAAGAUAUGAAUAAAUCUCUAGGAGGAGUUAGUUAAAGUACAACCCCUGAAAAUGGCAAAAACAACACCAAUUUUGCAGAGAAAAUUCUAAAUAACUGACUUCCUGUUGGGAUUCGGA